CCUACGGGAGGCAGCAGUGAGGAAUAUUGGUCAAUGGGCGCGAGCCUGAACCAGCCAAGUCGCGUGAGGGAAGACGGUCCUAUGGAUUGUAAACCUCUUUUGUCGGGGAGCAAAAGACGCCACGCGUGGCGUUCCGCGAGUACCCGAAGAAAAAGCAUCGGCUAACUCCGUGCCAGCAGCCGCGGUAAUACGGAGGAUGCGAGCGUUAUCCGGAUUUAUUGGGUUUAAGGGGUGCGCAGGCGGAAGAUCAAGUCAGCGGUAAAAUUGAGAGGCUCAACCUCUUCGAGCCGUUGAAACUGGUUGUCUUGAGGGAGUGAGAAGUAUGCGGAAUGCGUGGUGUAGCGGUGAAAUGCAUAGAUAUCACGCAGAACUCCGAUUGCGAAGGCAGCAUACCGGCGCUCAACUGACGCUCAUGCACGAAAGUGUGGGUAUCGAACAGGAUUAGAUACCCUUGUAGUC
rnacentral:rRNA from 1 species